rnacentral:lncRNA from 1 species
CGUUUGUUUAUGUAAUUUAUACGUAAUUCUCGUUUCUCGUUUUUUAUAUAGAUUAGACCGUUGGUUUUCCCGUUUGAAUGGUUUUACACUAGUAAUUUUGGGGCCCUUUAUAGCAUUUUGUUCGGUGUGAGCCAAGGCUCCGUGUUGAAGGCCGUACAUUGACCUAUAAUGGUUUACUUUUAUGAAUUGUUAUUUAGAUGGAGAGUUGUCUCAUUGGCACUCAC